UGCCUACGGGACGCAGCAGUGAGGAAUAUUGGUCAGUGGGCGAUAGCCUGAACCAGCCAAGUCGCGUGAGGGAAGACGGCCCUAUGGGUUGUAAACCUCUUUUGUCGGGGAGCAAGGUCGCUACGUGUAGCGAUUUGAGAGUACCCGAAGAAAAAGCAUCGGCUAACUCCGUGCCAGCAGCCGCGGUCAUACGGAGGAUGCGAGCGUUAUCCGGAUUUAUUGGGUUUAAAGGGUGCGUAGGCGGGAGGUCAAGUCA
rnacentral:rRNA from 1 species